GCUGAAACUGUCUUCCCAGUUAAUCCUGGACUGGCCUGCUGAAAAAGCAAGAAAAUAGCAAAACAAGUUAUUGUUCAGUGCUUAAAUGAGACAGACGGCACAGAACAGCUUCCUGAUACAUUAUGCAUCAGCAUGCGAACCAAAGUCCAGUUGGAAGGCAAUGGAUGAAAGAAUACUAAAGUUGUGGCCUUACCGUAUCACAAGGCACUGGAUGGGAAAGAAAUAAUUUCUCCCCUUCAGCAUCUUCAUCUGUCCUGCAGUGGUAAAAAUUUGUGAGUAUAGCAGCACGAGUAAAAACCAAGAGAAAAAUAAGAAAUAGAAAGAUUACUUUUCAAAUAUUCCCAACAGAGAAAGCUUUUUCUCACUUCCUGUCGGUUUAACAAAACCUUUUCCUACUCUAUUCCUGCAUUAUUUAAGUCUAAUUGUCCUUAAAUCUUUUAGUUUCAUCUACCUGUAAUACUUUUGUAGCAAAUCCAAGUUCCGGUAUUUGGUUUCCCUUUGAACCCAGUCAUCAGGAAAACCAGCCAUAAACAGAAGUGUGAUUCCCAAGGCCUUAAAGAAGAAGCUUCCAUUGCGGAUGUGGACUAGCAUUGCCCUUCGGCACAUAACUGGGCCAAAAGAUUUUAGCUUGUUUCUUCCCAUUCGCUGCCUGACAUAUCUGGAAAAAUUGAUCGCAUAAAUAUUUUGUACAUUUCAGAUUUCAUGGUUUUGACAAUUAAGGAACAAACAAUAACACUUGAAAGGUCAUGAUUUCAUCUUAAGCUUCAUUUAGAUCAGCAUUCAACAUGCAGAAGCCAACAUAGAACUAUUAAAGACAGGGAUGGAAAGUUUGUAUGGUCUAUAAAAAGCAUAUCUUGGGUUGUUGCAGGUCUAGGUCCCCUUCUCUGUUUUUCUCUUUCUAUGCUCGAAAAACUUGCUUUAUCAAAACAAAAUGACUCUAUUGAUGCAAUCAAUAUAACAUUUUUAGUAUAAAUGUCGUUUCCGGAUA